GCCCAGGUGGUGGAAUUGGUAGACACGCAGGACUUAAAAUCCUGUGGGCAGUAAUGUCCGUGCGGGUUCAAGUCCCGCCCUGGGUACUA
rnacentral:tRNA from 1 species